AAUCACAGUAGUGGGUCGUGAUCUUUUCCGGCGGCGAUGAGCAUUGCGGUGAAGGAAAACGGUGGCUUGUUGCCAGAUAUUUGCAAUUUCUACAAGGACACUCAUCAGAACAAGAAGACAAAAGAAUGGAUUGAUCCUAUAUGCUGUGAUUUACAUGAGCAAAUGACAAUGGUGCGGGAUGAGUCUAUUGAGUCUGGAACGUCGAUGACACAAGAGGAUAUAUCAAGAGUGGUGCUGGGAAAAAAGAAG